AUACGUAGGGGGCGAGCGUUGUCCGGAAUGAUUGGGCGUAAAGGGCGCGUAGGCGGCCCGGUAAGUCUGGAGUGAAAGUCCUGUUUUUAAGAUGGGAAUUGCUUUGGAUACUGUCGGGCUUGAGUGCAGGAGAGGUAAGUGGAAUUCCCAGUGUAGCGGUGAAAUGCGUAGAGAUUGGGAGGAACACCAGUGGCGAAGGCGACUUGCUGGACUGUAACUGACGCUGAGGCGCGAAAGUGUGGGGAGCAAACAGGAUUAGAUACCCUGGUAGUCCACACUGUAAACGAUGAAUGCUAGGUGUAGGGGGUAUCGACCCCUUCUGUGCCGCAGUCAACACAAUAAGCAUUCCGCCUGGGGAGUACGGCCGCAAGGUUGAAACUCAAAUGAAUUGACGGGG
rnacentral:rRNA from 1 species